UGAGUGAUGAAGGCCUUAGGGUUGUAAAGCUCUUUCACCGGAGAAGAUAAUGACGGUAUCCGGAGAAGAAGCCCCGGCUAACUUCGUGCCAGCAGCCGCGGUAAUACGAAGGGGGCUAGCGUUGUUCGGAAUUACUGGGCGUAAAGCGCACGUAGGCGGAUAUUUAAGUCAGGGGUGAAAUCCCAGAGCUCAACUCUGGAACUGCCUUUGAUACUGGGUAUCUUGAGUAUGGAAGAGGUAAGUGGAAUUCCGAGUGUAGAGGUGAAAUUCGUAGAUAUUCGGAGGAACACCAGUGGCGAAGGCGGCUUACUGGUCCAUUACUGACGCUGAGGUGCGAAAGCGUGGGGAGCAAACAGGAUUAGAUACCCCUCUGGUAGUCA
rnacentral:rRNA from 1 species